rnacentral:rRNA from 1 species
AACGAACGCUGGCGGCAUGCCUAACACAUGCAAGUCGAACGAGACCUUCGGGUCUAGUGGCGCACGGGUGCGUAACGCGUGGGAACCUGCCCUUAGGUUCGGAAUAACUCCCCGAAAGGGGUGCUAAUACCGGAUAAUGUCUUCGGACCAAAGAUUUAUCGCCUUUGGAUGGGCCGGCGUUGGAUUAGCUAGUUGGUAGGGUAAAAGCCUACCAAGGCGACGAUCCAUAGCUGGUCUGAGAGGAUGAUCAGCCACACUGGGACUGAGACACGGCCCAGACUCCUUCGGGAGGCAGCAGUGGGGAAUAUUGGACAAUGGGCGAAAGCCUGAUCCAGCAAUGCCGCGUGAGUGAUGAAGGCCUUAGGGUUGUAAAGCUCUUUUACCCGGGAUGAUAAUGACAGUACCGGGAGAAUAAGCUCCGGCUAACUCCGUG